AUACGAAAGGUGCAAGCGUUGUUCGGAUUUACUGGGCGUAAAGAGAGUGUAGGUGGUUUAUUAAGUCGGAUGUGAAAUCCCGGGGCUCAACCUCGGAACUGCAUUCGAUACUGAUAGGCUAGAGUUUGGGAGGGGUAAGCGGAAUUCCGUGUGUAGCAGUGAAAUGCGUAGAUAUACGGAGGAACACCUGAGGCGAAGGCGGCUUACUGGACCAAUACUGACACUGAGACUCGAAAGCGUGGGUAGCAAACAGGAUUAGAAACCCGAGUAGUCC
rnacentral:rRNA from 1 species